rnacentral:rRNA from 1 species
GACGAACGCUGGCGGCGUGCCUAAUACAUGCAAGUCGGACGCAGUUGCGAACGGGUGCGUAACGCGUCGGUAACUGCCUAUUAGAGGGGGAUAACUAUUGUAAACGAUAGCUAAUACCGCCUACUCGUAGAUGGACCUGCGUUGUAUUAGCUAGUCUGUAGGGUAAAGGGCUGCCUAGGCGACGAUACAUAGCCGAGCUGAGAGGGUGAACGGCCAAACUGGGACUGGGGAACGGCCCAGACUCCGACGGGGGGCAGGAGUAGGGAAUCUUCGGAAAUGGGGGGAACCCUGAACGAGGAAAGGCGGGGGAGUGAAGAAAGUUUUCGGAGCGUAAAGGUCUGUUGUUAAGGAAGCGGUACUUAACCAGAAAGGGACGGCUAACUACGUGCCAGCAGCCGCGGUAAUUC